rnacentral:rRNA from 1 species
CCCUUAGAGUUUGAUCCUGGCUCAGGAUGAACGCUAGCUACAGGCUUAACACAUGCAAGUCGAGGGGAAACGAUAUCGAAAGCUUGCUUUUUAUGGGCGUCGACCGGCGCACGGGUGAGUAACGCGUAUCCAACCUGCCCACCACUUGGGGAUAACCUUGCGAAAGUAAGACUAAUACCCAAUGACGUCUCUAGAAGACAUCUGAAGGAGAUUAAAGAUUUAUCGGUGAUGGAUGGGGAUGCGUCUGAUUAGCUUGUUGGCGGGGUAACGGCCCACCAAGGCUACGAUCAGUAGGGGUUCUGAGAGGAAGGUCCCCCACAUUGGAACUGAGACACGGUCCAAACUCCUACGGGAGGCAGCAGUGAGGAAUAUUGGUCAAUGGGCGAGAGCCUGAACCAGCCAAGUAGCGUGCAGGAUGACGGCCCUAUGGGUUGUAAACUGCUUUUAUACGGGGAAUAAAGUGAGUCUCGUGAGGCUUAUUUGCAUGUACCGCAUGAAUAAGGACCGGCUAAUUCCGUGCCAGCAGCCGCGGUAAUACGGAAGGUCCGGGCGUUAUCCGGAUUUAUUGGGUUUAAAGGGAGCGUAGGCCGGAGAUUAAGCGUGUUGUGAAAUGUAGAUGCUCAACAUCUGCACUGCAGCGCGAACUGGUUUCCUUGAGUACGCACAAAGUGGGCGGAAUUCGUGGUGUAGCGGUGAAAUGCUUAGAUAUCACGAAGAACUCCGAUUGCGAAGGCAGCUCACUGGAGCGCAACUGACGCUGAAGCUCGAAAGUGCGGGUAUCGAACAGGAUUAGAUACCCUGGUAGUCCGCACGGUAAACGAUGGAUGCCCGCUGUUGGUCUGAAUAGGUCAGCGGCCAAGCGAAAGCAUUAAGCAUCCCACCUGGGGAGUACGCCGGCAACGGUGAAACUC